UUAAACAAGAUCAUAAUAAACACUUUGGAAAAACUUGAAACGAAUAAAGGAAAGGACUCUCCACACAAAGAUGGCUAUGGUAGGCUCUGCCCUGCCAGGAUAAGACUGGAUUUUCCCUCUCAGUGUUCUCACAAAAUUCUGUGCUCAAAGAGACAGUGGAUGUUUGAAGACCAAGAAGCUACUGAUGAAAAGGUGAAAAUAUUGAGAAGAGUGUUUAUCCUCUUGAACUUUGGAAGCUCUGACCAUGGAUAGUAUGUUCUUAUCACCAGAAAAUCUGGGACAAGGCUAACUUAACCUUGGAAUCAAUAGUGUCACAGACCCUGUCUCUAAAGUGAGGGCUUCAUCUGAUUUGUUGACAUUCACUGGCAGCAGCCCCAGACCAUUUCCUAUGAGAGGGUCUGUUUUGAUACACAGGAAUUGGGGCUGGAAAUAUAAUUCAAUGGUAGAGUGCUCACCUUGCAUGCCCAAGGCCCUUUAUUCCAUUCCCAGCACCACGAAACUAAAAUAAAAUAUAGGCACUAAAGACCCUUCUCAAAACUGCAGACUGCUUGGACAGUGGCUUUCAACUCUGUAUCAGAAUCUGCUGGAAGCUUGUUCAGAGAAUGCUGGCUAGCCCACGCGUCCAGUUUCAGACUCAGUGCAUCCGAGAGGGAGCCGAGACAUUUGUAAUUCUCACAAAUUUGGGGUCAUGCUGAUGCUAAUGGUCUGGGCAUCUCGAGGAACAUUGUUAUAGCCAUUAAUUCUGCUCUGCAAUCAAGACUUUUGGACUCUCACAGCUGUGAUAAAAUAUGAAUUCUUUACUUUAGUUCUACCUUGGAGAGAAAAGGCUUAGCCAUUUAACUUUUGCUAACUAUGUCCCCAUAAAGUAGUCAAAGGAUUUAUGGUAAUAUUUCUAAGCAUACUUAGAUAAUAAUAUUUUUUAAAAGUAAAAGUGUGAAUAAACGGAAAGGCAUUGAGUUCUUAAAGUAUUCCACUUGUGUCACACAUUGUCACUCCAGAGUUCAGAAGACACUUUGCCAUGGGACUUGUCUUCACUCCAUGUCUGGUUGCAAGAACAAUCAUUGAAAAACUGACUCUCUUUAGUCUGAAAACCAGAAGGUCUCAGUUAAUGAAACAUUGCACAUUUUGAAAUUUAGUUCUUGGGGGACUUCUCCAUGUGUCUCUUAUUUAAUAUACAAUAGUACUUUAAAAAAAAACUUAUACUGGAUUUUGACAAAUCUUUCAAUGUUUCC
rnacentral:lncRNA from 1 species